rnacentral:lncRNA from 1 species
UGGAAUUGAGAAACCUGAACUGGUGUAUUCAGUAGCAAAAAAUUUGUAAAGGGACGUUCAUAAGAAGAAAAAUAUGUGAUUAGGAAUUUGUCUCUCCUUGUCUGUAUUUUUUUUGUAGGCCUGUUAGCAGUAUUGCAUCCUUUCUUUCCUUUUCUUUUACAUCUUUUACUAUCACAGCCAUUGGAUUGCACAGACUAGCAUCCAAUGGACAAACAAUGUUGGACUUGCUAAGGGUCCCCAAGAGUUCCCAUUGUAUAUCUAGUGAUUAUGAUUUUUCUAGGGCUGCAAAUUCUGCACAAACUGGAGUUAUAUUGAAUAUAUUAUAUUGUAAAU